UAAUGUUUUUUAUAAAGGCAGGCGUUUUUCCUCAAACCUGACUAAUGCGAAAAUUAGCCUUGUGUUAUCAGGUUAGCUUAUCGUAGCCAUCUGAUGCCACAAAGAGGGCAGACGGAGAGCUAGCGAAGCUUUCUUGCUCCCUAAGACAAAAGGGAAAGUAAUGGCUUAGCUAUUGUCAAUAGCAGUUAGUGUAUGGAAAGCUAGCUUACAGCACUUUCAUUUGCUGGUCGACGUUAACACCAACAAGAUUUAACAACAUACACUUGCAAUAUCACCGUAACAUUAGCCAAAAAUGGGAUACCAACAGGCAUUGUAAAAGGGCAACGCUGGCGUUAGCAACCUAGCAACAACAGACACCUGCUCCUGCUCCAGCUGACCAGCUAGCAUCAGUGACUAGCCCAGACCUACGCUACCACCCAGCAUGAAGAACAGCAUGAAGUAUGGAGAUGGCCCACGCAGCAGUAUACUUCAAAACCUGUGGCACAAGAUAGAGGUGGUCGGAGUGAGAAAAUUGAUGCAGAAGGCCCCCAAAAAAGUGGUUUGAUGUGGAUAUGGCUUCAGGCUUCUGUUGAGUGUGAAAGUGUGGCGGCUGCAAUUUCAGAUAGGAAAGAUCCACAAAGCUUUGUCAGCAGAAUAAGGAGGAGCCACAUCUGCAAGCAUGCCAGUCUACAUCAGCAAACUCAUUAAAGGAAAUGAAUCAAAGGAGAAAGCUGAUGUGUGGCUGAAAAGUGUAAUUUAAUAAAUGUGUGUUGGGCUUCAGUGCUCAGCACAUCAUUCAUGUUGUUUACGGGCUGUAAUGUUAGCAGGUGAGGGCACUUUAAUAAUAAAGGCCUUUCACAAAGGCAAA